UAAUACAGAGGGUGCAAGCGUUAAUCGGAAUUACUGGGCGUAAAGCGUGCGUAGACGGUUAUGUAAGUCAGGUGUGAAAGCCCCGGGCUCAACCUGGGAAUUGCAUUUGAGACUGCAUAGCUAGGGUGCGGAAGAGGGAAGCGGAAUUUCCGGUGUAGCGGUGAAAUGCGUAGAUAUCGGAAGGAACACCAGUGGCGAAAGCGGCUUCCUGGUCCAGCACCGACGUUCAGGCACGAAAGCGUGGGGAGCAAACAGGAUUAGAUACCCUGGUAGUCCACGCCAUAAACGAUGAGAACUAGACGUUGAGAGGGUAAGCCUCCCAGUGUCGAAGCUAACGCGAUAAGUUCUCCGCCUGGGGAGUACGGCCGCAAGGUUG
rnacentral:rRNA from 1 species